UAAGGUUACAAUUAGAUAAAUUGUGAAUAGGUAUUAUGUGUAAAUAUAGUAAUAUAUUUAGCUUAGAUAUUUCUAAUGACCGAAAGAUGAUUUGAAU
rnacentral:rRNA from 1 species